UACAUGUGGGGCAAGCGUUGUUCGGAAUUACUGGGCAUAAAGGGUGCGUAGGUGGUUUGUUAAGUCACGGGUGAAAGUUUUCGGCCCAACCGGAAAAUUGCCUGUGAUACUGGCGAACUUGAGUGCGUGAGGGGUAACCGGAACGAGCAGUGUAGCGGUGAAAUGCGUAGAGAUCCGGAGGAACACCAAAGGCGAAGGCAGUGUCCUGGGGAGUACCUGACGCUCAGGUGCGAAAGCCAGGGGAGCGAACGGG
rnacentral:rRNA from 1 species